rnacentral:rRNA from 1 species
AGAGUUUGAUCCUGGCUCAGAAUCAACGCUGGCGGCGUGCCUAACACAUGCAAGUCGCACGAGAAAGUCCCCGCAAGGGGAUGAGUAAAGUGGCGUACGGGUGAGUAACACGUGACUAACCUACCCUCGAGUGGGGAAUAACCUCGGGAAACCGGGGCUAAUACCGCAUAACACCUACGGGUCAAAGCCGAAGGCGCUUGAGGAGGGGGUCGCGGCUGAUUAGCUAGUUGGCAGGGUAUGGCCUACCAAGGCAAUGAUCAGUAGCCGGCCUGAGAGGGCGCACGGCCACACUGGAACUGAAACACGGUCCAGACUCCUACGGGAGGCAGCAGUGGGGAUUUUGCACAUGGGGGAAACCUGAUGCAGCACGCCGCGUGGAGGUGAGUCCCUUGGACGUAACUCCUUUCGACGGGACGAUAUGACGGUACGGUGGAAGA